AUACGGAGGGUGCAAGCGUUAUUCGGAAUCACUGGGCGUAAAGGGUGCGUAGGCGGUUUGAUAAGUCUGAUGUGAAAUCCUAUGGCUCAACCAUAGAACUGCAUUGGAAACUGUCAGACUAGAAUACUGAAGGGGCAGAUGGAAUUAGUGGUGUAGGGGUAAAAUCCGUAGAUAUCAAUAGGAAUACCGAAAGCGAAAGCGAUCUGCUGGGAAGUUAUUGACGCUGAGGCACGAAAGCGUGGGGAGCAAACGGGAUUAGAUACCCUAGUAGUCC
rnacentral:rRNA from 1 species